CUCGUGGUUGAUAACUGAGGAGACUGGACCCUGACCUUCACCUUGAAUUGAGCUUGACAUCUGGCGGUGGUAUAUUCAUUAUCCACGCAAUAGAAGCACUUAACGCAAGAGAGACUUUGAAGAGCAGACCACUGAACCUUAAAGUUUGUGUACAGAGGCCACAGAAGUACCUAUGAUUAGUUGCUAAAGGCCAUGUCACACCUAGCGUAAAGAGAUGUGUAGGGAUAU